rnacentral:ncRNA from 18 species
UUUAUCCUUCGGGGCUGGGUGGAAAUCCCGACCGGCGGUGAUGAAGCGAAUGCUUCUUAGUCCGUGACCCGGUUGCUGAUAUCAGUAAGCGGUGGACCUGGUGAAAAUCCGGGACCGACAGUGAAAGUCUGGAUGGGAGAAGGAAACG